rnacentral:lncRNA from 1 species
AUGAGCGUCUGCUCUGAUUGUGGAACUAGUAAAAACUGCCUGCCAAGCUUGAAAAACACUCAGUCAAAAUGUUUUUUAAAUUUUGUAGAGCUGCAAGGCGAACAAGGAAGAAUGAAAGACGGAGCUAAAAAGAUCGACAUGCGGAGAGCAGUAGCUGGUUGGAGCAGCUGGAACAGACUGAAGCAUUCCAGGCAGAACUGCAAGUGAACGACGGGGAAAUACAUCACCGUGGGAGAGAGCGGGACUAGUUCAUCUCCAUCUUCAACCCAGCAACACUCUUCUUUCAUGGGAGGGAAAGGAUAGCCACGUGAAAAUCGACAGAUGGGCUUGGAUUCUAGCAGCAGGAAGGUGGGUCUCCUAAGUUUUCACUUUCCUUUCACUCAGAUUUAUUUUCACAUCUGAGAGCCAUUUAACUUGACUGCAGUUAAGCUAAUUUCAAAUUAUAGACAUGAGCAGGGUCUGGCUUGUUUUCAACUAAAUAGGAGACCCGAUUGCAAGAAGCAUUGUGGGCAUCUGGUUGUGUGACUGAUCUUCCUCAGUAAACGCGGAAAAACCAUAGCAACCGUCAGCACGCAGUGAAACACAGCAUCACCAAGUAGCUGGGCCAGUUGGUGGAAAGGCCCUGUGUGGGGCUCAGGGCCCUGGAAGGGUGCACGGGGGAGGCGGGAGGGAGCAGCCAGUGUCCUCCAGCCUUUGUCAGCUGGGGCAAUGUAUUCGUUUCCAAGGCUGCGUAGCAGAUGCCACCAGAUUAGCAACUGAAAUCAGCCAAUCACAGGCUCCAAGUAUGCAGCUCGGAGGCUCAAGCAGGCUCAUCUGGGUUCUCCACUCUGGAUCUCACAAACGUCAAUCUAGGUGUCCCCAGGACUGGGCUCCGACCUGGCAGCUCUGAGCAGAACCUGCUUCUGAGCCUGUUCACGCCGGUGGCCGAUUUUCAUUCCUUGCAGUUGCAGAAUAGAGACCAUGCUUCCUUGUGGGCCGUCAGCCAGGGGCUGCUGUCAGCUUCUAGACGUCACCCACGUUCCUUGAUAUGUCCCACCCUCCCCUCAACCCCCCACCAAAUCCUCAAGCGGUGAUGGUGACUCCCUCCCAUGCUUGGGCUCUUACUUUCUCUUCUGCUACCAGCUGGAGAAGGUUUUCUGUUUUCAAAGGGCUUACCUGAUUGGGUCAGGCCCACCUACCUACAUCCCACAUCAGAUGGUAAGUUCAACUGACGUGGAAUGAUAAUUACAUCCGGGGAAUCCUUUGUGGCAGUCUCAAAUUAGUGUCUGAUUGAAUAACCAGGGAUGGAAUCGUAGGGGUCAUCUUUAGAAUUACACUCAUUAGAGAGACUUCAGACAGCCCCUAGGAGGCUAUGAUUAACACAAAAGGGUAAAAAACUGAGGACUACAAUUUACACACUCGUCAUUUCCCUUCCAGGGAACCAAGGAAGCCGUCCUGAGGGAGGAGGCUCUGAGGUGGGCCUGGAAGAACUAGGGGGCCUUGAGGCGCAGGUGAGGAAAGGGGCAGGUGUGUCAGAUGAGAGGAGCGAAAGGAAGUGUUGAGGCCAGGGAGCGCUGCGCGUGGUGGCCCGUGGCCUAGAACGGUUGAUAGGCCUGUGAGGGAGCAGACUCAGCCUGGAGUAAGGCCAACUGGGGGAAGAGGUGAGCAGGUAAGCGUCCCUUAAGUGAUAUGAAUAAUGUUUCCUCUAGGACUUGCCGUGUGAAGGUUCCGCCGCCCUUGCCCCAACACUGCGCUUCUACGAACAGAACGAGGCAGGAGCUUCCAGAGGUCCUCGGGGGCGGCUUUGUGGCUGGGCUGGAGUGUUACCGUGCGCUUUCCCUGUUUAGUCUGCUCGGGUUCGGGCUACCCUAAGAAAGGAAUGCACACCGGGGGCUUAUGACAUGCGUAUUCUCUCGGGGGAGAGCGCAGGGCUGACAUCAAGGGUGGUUCCUUCUGGGGGCUGUGAGGGAGAAGCUGCCUCAGGGCUCUGCCCCGGCUUCUGGAGUUCGCUGCUCGCUCUGGUGCUCCUUGGCUUGUAGAGGUGUCGUCCCGAUCUCUGCCUUCAUCUUUAUGUGACCUCUGUCCCUGAAUCUUUCCUGCUUUUUUGUUUUCCUUGAGACAGAGUCUUUGUCACCCAGGCUGGGGGGCAGUGACAGGAUCUCAGCUCACUGCAGCCUCCGCCUCCCAGGUUCAAGCAAUUCUCUGCCUCAGCCUCCUGAGCAGCUGGGACUAUAGGUGCACCUCCACGCCCAGCUACUUUGUGUAUUUUUAGUAGAGAUGGGGUUUUGCUGUCUUGGCCAGGCGGGUCUUGAGCUCCUGACCCCGUGAUCCACCCGCCUCGCCUUCCCAAAGUGCUGGGAUUACAGGCGUGAGCCACCGCGCCCGGCCAGUCUUGUCUUUUUAUAGAGAUGUCAGUCACAUGAUUAGGAGCCAUCUGCCCCAGUAUGACCUCACCUGAACAAAUGACAUUUGUGAUGGCCCUAUUUCCAAGUGAGGCCACAUUUGAGAUCCUGGAGUUUAAGACUUCAACGUGUGACUUUGUGGAGGACACAGUUCCACCCACAGCAGUCUUCUGUGCUCUGCUCUAGAGACAGCCCCCAUCGUUUGAAGGUAAGGGUCAGAUAACCUAUAAGGAGUAAUGCUUCCUCACUAUAAAUCAGUUACAAACAAUGUGAGCCAAAGUCUAGGGAGGGAGAGCCUGACGUCUUGCUUUUCAAAGUGUGGUCCUCAGACAAGCGGCUUCAGAUCACCUGGCAGCUUGUUGGAAAUGCAGAGUCUCAGGCCCCACACCACGCCCACGGAGUCUGACUCUUCAUUUUAACAAAAUCCUUGGAAAGAAAUUUUUUUUGUGCAUAAAAAUUUGAAAGGCAGUAUUUAAUAUACUUCGUCAGAAAUGGUUAGAAAAUUCUUCAGGGCAAAACCAUAAUGUCAACCUCACACCACCAUUUAAAGAAAUUAAAAAUAAGUUUUUGAACUAGUACAGCCACUCUAGAGAACAGUAUGGAGGUUCCUCAAAACACCACAAAUAGAACUACCAUAUGACCCAGCAAUCCCACUGCUGGGCAUUUCUCCAAAGGAAGGGAAAUGAGGAUACGGAAGAGACAUCUGCACCCGUGUUUGUCUCAGCACUGUUCACCACGGCCAAGGUGUAGAGUCGUCCCAGGUGUCCGAACACAGAUGAGCGGGUAACGAAAGUGGGGCAUAUGCAUUAUGAAAUACUACUCAGCCAUAAAAAAGAAAAGAGCCCUGUCAUCUGCAGCAACAGGACAGGGCUGGAGGACAUGAUGUGAGGCGAACUACGCCGGGAACAGAAACUGAAGCCUCGCUCGUUCUCACUCAUCUGUGGAAGCUAAAAAAAGUUGAUCUCAUAGAAGGAAGGAAAAAGUAGAACAGAGAUACUGCAGGCUGUGAAGGAUAGGGAAGGGGGAGAGGAAGAGACUUGCUAAAGGGCGCACGUCUCCGGCUGGUUGGAAGGAAUCGGCUCCAGGGCUCUACAGCACUACGGGUUGACCAUGAUUCACAAUAAUACGUUACAGGAGGGGGAUGUUGAGUGCUCCCAAUGGAAGUGCCAAUCCUCAUCUGAUCACCGUACAUAAUAUGUGUUGAAACAUUGCCAUGUACCCCAUAAAUACGGAAUGCAGACCGAGUUCCACGUUGUAUAAUAUGUGUAAUUAUUAUAUGUCAAUAAUUUUUUGUUUUAAAUAUUUUUUUUUGAGACAGAGUCUUGCUCUGUCACUCAGGCUGGAGUGCAGUGACAUGAUCUCUGCUCAUGGCAACCUCCGCCUCCCAGGUUCAAGCAAUUCUCUGCCUCAGCCUCCCUAGUAGCUGGGAUUACAGGCACCUGCCACCACACCUGGCUGAUUUUUAUGUUUUUUGGUAGAGAAGAGGUUUCACCGUCUUGGCCAGGCUGGUCUUGAACUCCUGACCUCAUGAUCCACCCACCUCAGCCUCCCAAAGUGCUGGGAUUACAGGCAUGAGCCACUGUGCCUGGUCAAUAACUUUUUAUAACUAAAAAAUGAAAAGAAAAAUAAUUUAACAAGGUUUUGGAACAGGUGGCUCAAAAACUUC